UCCACCCGGUGAGCAGCGGGGAGCCUCGGCCGCGCGGGGCAAGACCUGACGUGGGCGGAGGCCUGCGGGGGAUCCCAGAGGAAUGACCAGCUGCGACCACUUUCCCGGAGCGCCUGGAGCGCCCGCGUUCCUCCCCCGCGCUUCCUCGCGGCCGCGCGAGAAGCGCCCGCCUGUAGGUAGGUGUCCGAGCCCCGGCCUGAGUCGGCGGUCGGCUUUCCUCCCAGCAACCAGACGAACCCCAAGCCACCCGGCUCCUCUCGCUGCGCUGCUGGACGGGCGGGACGACCUGCCGACCGUAUGCAGAGAAUUUAACUGGAGGAAAACAAAGAAUACUUUGGGUGGAAAUGGAAAUUCCUGACGCUUGAGAAAUUGUUUGAAUACUUUUCCUAAUACUUCAGGCAUUGACGAGAGGAUCUGAAACUACAAAGUACCUUGAACUGUUGUGUCAACGUGCGGUAUCUUCAUUGUUCUUGGUGCUGAGGUGACAACUUAAGCAAUUUACAGUGAAAUAAAGGCCCCCCACCUUGCUCUACACAAACCAGUCGAACUAUUCUGAAUCAAAUUUGCACAGGUCGAAAGAACAGGAUGUUUUUCAAGGCUGGCUUUUUGGAAGCUCACGUUGACUUGCCCUGUUCUAGGCUUUUUCGCUGUUAAAUUUCCUCCAGUAGAUAGAAGUUUGGAAAGGAAUGUAUCAUCUGGUAUAGGAAGGUCAGGUUUUAAUAUCUUAAGUCUCCCGUUUAUUGCCUAAACUUGGUGAUCUAGGGCUGAAGUGGGGAGAAGCAUCUAUGGUUCAUUAAAACAAAUCCUUGUGGUUUAAGGGUCAGCUGAUUUUCUUGCUGCAGGACUUAAAAAGGAGAACUGGAUUUCCCUGAAGAGGUCUGGAUCCAGAUAAGCAGCUUUCAUUGAAAAGGAAGGAGCCAUGAAGCCACAGAAACGCGUGGAGGAAACUUGAUGCCUGUUACCAAGUAAAAGAAGCCAGUCUGAAAAGGCUGCACGCUGAUGACUCCAGCUCUGUGACAGUCCGGGACAGGCCAGACUGUGGAGCCAGCAGAAAGAUCUGUGCCUGUCAGGGCCCUGGGGGAGCGAGGGAUAAAUAGGUGGAGCACAGAGGAUUUUUAGGGCUGAGAAACUAUUCUGUGUGCUGUUAUGAUGGUGGAUACAUGUCAUUAUACAUUUGUCCAAAUCCACAGAAUGUACGAUACAAAGAGUGAUCUUUAAUGUAAUCUAUGGACUUUAGUUCAUAAUUUUGUAUAGAUAUUGGCUCAUCAAUCAUAACAAAUGUACCACACUAAUGCAAGAUGUUAAUAAUGGGAAAUUGGAGAGGAUGGGAACUUUCUACUUACUGCAGAAUUUGUCUAUAAACCUAAAACUCUAAAAAUAAAGUUUAUUAAUUUAAAAACAAGAAGUUAAUUUACUUUUCCUUUUUUGUACCAUAUCUACUUAGUCAUUUACUGCUUUAGCAAUGACAUUGUGUAGAACUGCCAGCUCACAGGGACCUUUCGGUCUCCAGUGUGGUCCUCUGCUCUGAGCUGCCUGGCUGCCUGGGCCUGGUCCCCAGGCGCCCAGCGCUGCUGUGCAGUGAGGAGAUGGGAGACCCGCGGGGUGGGCGGCAGCUUUUGCUCAGGCUUCCCAAUCUGAACAUGGCUGAAGAGUCACCUGAUGUCUUUAUAGCUUCCCUGGCUGACUGGGAGGAAGCUAGUUUCCAGGACUCACACUCUUUGAUGGACCAAGCCACUGCCAUGCCUUGGAGGGAUCAGUUCUCAUCUGACCUCAUUCAGAAUAUUUUUCUUACCAUAGACCAUUGAUUACUGAUUCAGAACCAUUCUUCCAUGUUGUUUUUAGGGGACUCUCAGUGUUCUCAGAGGCAUUUUGGUGCUCUGUUCUCCAGGACUCUGAUGGCCUUGUGUAUUCAUGUUCAGUAGCUGAUUACUGAUCUACUUCGGUUAUUCUGUUCUCUGCACAUCAGUUGUGCUUUUGGCAUAGAUGCUGUCUGGUCUGUUACCUAGUGAUUUUGCCUCUGUUGAGUAGGUGAGGUGGUCUUUCUGAUAUUUUUGAAAAUAGAUCGUAACCACUGUCUAACCUUUUGCAUUUUUUGCAAAGGACUCAUUCCUAGUCUUUGAACUCUUAAUGUUUGUUGUUCUUUGUGCAGUAAAAGCUUUUCUUUGGUUUCAGA